CACACACAUACAUACACGCAACACCCAGGAGCAACACAACCUAAAAGCGCAACAACAAACACAAAGAGCAGCAAGGACAAAUAUGGGUCACCACCACGAAAUAUCAUCUAUAACAGUACACACCAACUAAAAAACGUCCCCUCAAACGGCAAAACAACUGCACCCUAGCAAAAUUCUAAGCCCCAUAUCAUCAUCCACCCAUACACUCAGAAACAACU